UGGGGUGGGGCUCAGUGGCAGAGUGCUUGCCUCGCAUGUGUGAGGCACUGGGUUCAAUUCUCAGCACUGCAC
rnacentral:tRNA from 1 species